CCAAUUUCUUUAGAGCGCAUGGAAAAGAGAUUGAUCUCGCUUACCAAAAAAAAUCACUUCUCUUUUAUUUCCUGUUUU
rnacentral:sRNA from 1 species